UUCCCACUGCUGCGGAGCCUGUCGCUGCCCAGGACACGGCGCCCCUCGCGGCCGUACCUAUUGAACAUGUUCCGGGGCAGCAGAGGAGGAAAAGGGCCCGCUCCAGCAAAGAAGUUGACUUCCUCGGCACCAGUUCAGAAGAGCCAGUAAGGGAGGUGCUGGAGGCUCUCCCUCCGGAAACAGCUGCGGUGGCGGUGGUCCACAGCAAGUAUUGGACCGAAGAGUGGAGGGACCACACCGCCUCCUGCACUGCUGAAGACUUGGUGGCGGUGAACAGCGCCUGCGUGGCCCGGGCACUAAGCACAAGUAUCCAACUCGAGGGCUUGGUGAAGGAUCUAAACUCCAAGAGGGAGGACCUCGCCAAGCGCCUCGAGGAGGCGAUGCAUUACGGGGACGCUGUGCGAGCUGCCCAGGCCAAAGCUGCCAAGGCAGAAGAGGAAAAGAGAGCUGCUGAGGUCCAGCUCGCUGCUUCGCAGGCGGAGGUGGAGCGGCUGAAAAAAGAGCUCUAUGAGGUGGAGUGCCAGGUGGCUGUGGUGACUCGGCGGCUUGACCACGCUAAUGAGCACCACAAGCUUGCCACUGAUGCCCUGGAGGCCUCCAACAGAGAAAAAGCGGAGCUGAAGCAGCAAGCAGAGGCCCAGUCAGUGGAGAUUGCCUCUCUGAGGGAGGAGUUAAAGUCAGCGGGGGAGGUGGCGGUUCAAAAUUUUAUUGAUCACUUCGAGGACCACCCCCUUUAUGACGACUUCGCCAACUUCUGGGCCUCGUGGAGUGCCCAGAGCCUAUUGGGUCGGCUGAAGGAGGUGCACCCCACACUGGACAUCUCUCAACUAGAGGCUGAGUUCGGGGGACCCACUGGAGGUCGGCCUGACAAGGUUACCGAGGAGGUUCCAGAGGCCCAGGAGGCGGCCAGUGCUGAAGUUCCUCCCACAGAUUAGGGUUUCCUUUGUAAUGGCUUCGGCCCCCAUGUACUUCAAUUUCAUGAAAUGGAAAAUUUUGUUAAAUUUCUUUUUCAAGUUCUUUCGCUUCUGCUUCUUUGUAUCUCUUUUUGUUUUAUACUUGUAUGAAUGACAAACAUUAGGCCGACUGCCUCGUGACAAUGACCAGUUAACAAUUGUGAAUCGGUCUCCUUAAGCGAACACAAGUCAAGGAGGUGCACCCUACACUGGACAUCUCUCAACUAGAGGCAGAGUUCGGGGGACCCACUGGAGGUCGGCCUGACAAGGUUACCGAGGAGGUUCCAGAGGCCCAGGAGGCGGCCAGUGCUGAAGUUCCUCCCUCAGAUUAGGGUUUCCUUUGUAAUGGCUUCGGCCCCCAUGUACUUCAAUUUCAUGAAAUGGAAAAUUUUGUUAAAUUUCUUUUUCAAGUUCUUUCGCUUCUGCUUCUUUGUAUCUCUUUUUGUUUUAUACUUGUAUGAAUGACAAAC
rnacentral:lncRNA from 1 species